ensembl:lncRNA
CAAACAUGCUCAGGCUCCAGGUGUCUUUGGUUUCAAAGAGUAAGAGUGAAGAGGGAGGAGUGCACUCCCAGAGCACAAGCUGUCCCUGUUCCAGCGCUGGUUGACACCCAUUGCAACCACCUACCCUGAGGUGCUGUAAUCCUCAUCAUAAGCCAGUUUCCUGAAAGUCAAAACCUGGAGAUCAUCUCAAAUCAAAGGCAAUCUUUAAAGGGACUCAGGAAGCAACACAGGCAUUUUUCAAAAAGAUGAUGACCUAGUUCUGGAAAUCACCUCCUUCGUUCAGUCAGAAGUUUACCAAGACGGCUGAGCACAUGCACGAUAUGAAGAUUGAUCCAUGGACUCAGCUUGAGACACGUGUCUUGCUUUAUGAAGGUGAUCAUGAUAUAUUGGGGAAAAUAAGGGGGUUGUAAUCAAAUGUGUGUUGUUAUUCUGACUUUACCCCUUGUUAGCUGUGUAACCUUAGGACAAGUCCAUGGACUUUGCUGAGAUCCAGUUUAUGUAUCUGUGUAAUUCAAGAUAUCGAUCUUGCAAGAUGUGACGUUAAUAUAUGUAAAAUUCUUGACAAAAUAUGGCUUAAGGAAUACUGGGGCACGUUGAGAAGCAGAGUGAGUUUUUAGAGAUUUUUAUAUGGCAGUCAUCAUGCUUAUGUGUCCCUAUUUUCUAUAACCUUCCAUCUUCAGCUUCCCUAGGAUGUCUGGGGUUGGAAGCUAGGCUAGCCCAGACUGUCACUGAGGAGAGCAGAGCUGGAGCUCUCAUUCUGAAAGGUCAGUCUGGAACGCCUAGAGCCUUAUUGAGGACAACAGCUGUAGCUGCAAAUCCACACAGCAAGGCAAAGCAACUGUACCAUGAUUAAGGAUCGGAACCCAAAGGAGUGAAGCAAGGCGGAUGAAGAAAAAGGAUAAGGAGAAAGAAUUGGCUGCUUAUCCUCUGCCUUCAAAUCUAUCAGCAGAACCCCCUCCACUCCCCUGCCCCACCCCCAACCCCCUCCACUGGCAGAAAGUAAAGGAAAACCAGCUGGAAUGGAAGCCCAGGGAGAGUGUUUGCAGACUUCAGCCCUCUGCAGUACACAGGGAAUCUUUUGGACAGUCAACAAAGAAGUCUUGGCAGGGCGCCUGACUGGCAGUGCCAAGGGGCUCCUCUGGUCUGGCCAGUGCUUUU